ACUGCGGUGUGUGUGUGUGUGUGUGUGUGUGUGUGUGUGUGUGUGUGUUUUACACACACACACACACACACACACACACUUAUAGACACAGACACACAAUAAUAGCAGCAAAGUGUACAAAG